rnacentral:rRNA from 1 species
UACGAGGGGGGCAAGCGUUGUUCGGAAUUAUUGGGCGUAAAGGGUGCGUAGGCGGUCUGACAAGUCUGAUGUGAAAUCUAUGGGCUCAACCCAUAGUCUGCAUCGGAAACUGUCGGGCUUGAGUAUGGGAGAGGUGAGUGGGAUUCCCGGUGUAGCGGUGAAAUGCGUAGAUAUCGGGAGGAACACCUGUGGCGAAAGCGGCUCACUGGACCACAACUGACGCUGAGGCGCGAAAGCUAGGGGAGCAAACAGG